rnacentral:rRNA from 1 species
UAGAGUUUGAUCAUGGCUCAGAUUGAACGCUGGCGGCAGGCCUAACACAUGCAAGUCGAGCGGAUGAGAAGAGCUUGCUCUUCGAUUCAGCGGCGGACGGGUGAGUAAUACCUAGGAAUCUGCCUGAUAGUGGGGGACAACGUUUCGAAAGGAACGCUAAUACCGCAUACGUCCUACGGGAGAAAGCAGGGGACCUUCGGGCCUUGCGCUAUCAGAUGAGCCUAGGUCGGAUUAGCUAGUUGGUGAGGUAAUGGCUCACCAAGGCUACGAUCCGUAACUGGUCUGAGAGGAUGAUCAGUCACACUGGAACUGAGACACGGUCCAGACUCCUACGGGAGGCAGCAGUGGGGAAUAUUGGACAAUGGGCGAAAGCCUGAUCCAGCCAUGCCGCGUGUGUGAAGAAGGUCUUCGGAUUGUAAAGCACUUUAAGUUGGGAGGAAGGGCAGUAAGCGAAUACCUUGCUGUUUUGACGUACCGACAGA